rnacentral:rRNA from 1 species
AGAGAGUGACGGGCGAUUUGUACAUAUUCCAGAAUCUCUAUUCACUAUAAUUCUUAAAUUAACUUUACUUUUAAAUCCUAUUUCAUUAACUUAACACAAAUUAAAUUCAUUCAUAAUAAUUAAUGUAACCCAUAAAAUUCUUUUAAAUACUGCACCUUGACCUAACAUAAAAUUCAUAAAAAUUAAAGAAAUUAACAUGUUUUUAUAUAUUCAUGACAGCGGUAUACAAAUAAUUUAAAUAAAAGCAAAUAAAGUUGUGGAAUAUCAAUUAUACUACAGGUUCCUCUAAUAAGAUGCAAUACCGCCAAAUUCUUUGAGUUUUAUAUUCUUAGUAAUUACUACUCAAGCAAUUUUACAGAUAAAAUAACAGGGUAUCUAAUCCCAGAAGAUGA